UCGCUUGCCGAGUAUCCACUGGUCAUGUCCAUCCUUCCUUAGGUCGUCCACCAACCGCAUCUUGUUGUUGGCACCACAUCACUUGCAGGAUCAUCAUCUCUCGGUACUAAAUGAGAUGCAAGAUGCAUAUGUAUGAAUAUAAUGAAAAAUAUCAGAAGAUAUACAAAGACACACGUAGCGAGCUAGAUAUAAGGCGCAAGACACGGUACCGCCAACGAUCAUACGUAGGUACUAAUUAGCCAUACGUUAUCGACCUACGAAUUUAACACUACUAAGAAACCGACAAACACUAUCAUAUACAUAGCCACCACAAACACGACAUCACGAGUACAACCAUUUAUUUAAUUGGAUACGACUUUUCAUUAGUUCUUCCAUAGAUCGCACAAAAGCAUCCCAGACAACACAAGUUCAAUAGAGGACAUAGGCAUCAAUGUCUAUGGAACUCCUAUAUCACAAUCAACUAGAGAAAGAAACAUAUAAAACAUGACACACAUGCAAUAUUAAGCUUAGUCAUGGCAAGUCUACGUUAAUUAAGUGCUAACCAACUAUUUUUAGCAAAACGGGUGAACUAAACAAUCAGAUAAGCACUUGCAGAUUUUUUGACAGCAACACAACAGUUACUUGUUUUAAUCAUAACUCUUCAAAUAUUAAUCCAAAAAUAGCAACUAGGACUUUCUAGAAAGCUUAAAAUGUGCUCUACAACUUUGGUAUUUUUACCUCAACACGAUUCAACACUUAGCAAGGUCAAAAAAUGAUAACACGACAGCUCUGUCCAGAUUUGGACAGAUUCAGACUUGCGACUUUAAAAAUCCAUAACUAGAUAUUCAUGCACCCAAUUCAAGUGAUCCUAGAUUUUAUAGAAAGAUAAUGAAAUGGCCAACAGAAUAUUUAUAAACAUCUCAAGGUGAUUCAAUAUGCAAUUAAGGAUAAAAGACACUAGAAAGCUUUGGUGUCCAGAUUUGGACAGAUUCAGACUUCACACUUCAAACACCUAUAACUUAACCUUCAAACCACCCAAAAGAGUGAUCCAAGACUUUUUGGAAAGCUUAGCAAAAGUACUAUAUAACUUUUGUAAUCACCAAGAAGUGAUUCUAUGCUUAACCAAAUCAAACAAUACAAUUUUCGAAAUCUGUUCUGACAGUGGACAGAACACAACAACCAUUUUUUAAAAUUCAUAACUCUUAAACUAUCAGGCCUAUGGUUAUGAAAUUUUAACACAAGAAAGAUAAUAAAGUUAUCUACAACUCUUCUAUAUGAAGUUUCUACAGAAAACAUAAUUUAGUUUAUUAAACAUGCAGCACGACAAAAACAGUGCGUGCAGCCCAAAACAACAACUAAUAAAUUUCAGCUCCUAUUUACUUCAAGAAUUGCCAUGUUCUAGAGACUUGAAUUACUCUAACACUUUACCAUUUGUUAGAGUUAAAACAAUCAAAUGAGGACCAACAAGUCGACUUAUAAAUUUUAUCCAUGUCAUUUUGUGCGCUAGAAUUACCACACAAUUAACAAAUGUAUCUACCACAAUAAUCGAACCCGGUAUAUGUGUGUAUAUCGAUGCGCUCUUCACACAUUAAUUUGCAUUUUACUUAGACAUCACAUGAGCACUACUACUUUUCAUCUGCGACCAUAACCAUACACAUUUAGACCACAACAAGCAAUUCAUCGUGAUUACGAACUUAAUCAAAGCCAUCUAACAAUUCGGCUAACUAGAGAAACGACAUAGCCCGCUAUACAACAUUCAAGUCACAUAAAACACCAUAUUUUAUGAGAUCUAACAUGUCGAGCAUUAAUUUUACAACAUAAGCAAUUCAACCUCUACCCUGCUUGACCGAACCUAUUGGCUAACAUAUCUUAAACACCCUAUCCAUUCUUCACAUUUCUAAACCUAUUGCACGACAUAAACAAUUUCGAUACACAUUUAUAACAUCAUCACACAUUACCCCAACUUAACCAUAGAGGAAGCGAUGACUACUUCGGCAUGUCACCACCUCUCUACGGUCCAAAUCAAUAUUAACUACAUUCAUCGAACCUCAUAUCGUGCAACACUUCUAACUUACUACCUCAAAUACAACCAUAUCGUGGCAUGCACUUGAGACACUUCCGUUCAACUUAACGCAGCCACCAAAAUAAUGCACUUCGACACACAAGUCCAACACUACAUAAAAUUAUGGUGAAGCACCACUAAUAUUUUUAUCUAAACUAUCAUGACACAACCAUUUAAUCUCUAAUUGGUAUUAAGAUAUAAUUCAAACAUUCCAAGAGACAUGCAUGGUUUACUUACUUCUAAUUUCUCAAAUCUCAUACAAUUAUAUACUGAGUGAUAUUUUAGCAUUAUAUGAAACUAUCUAAUUUGGGGCUGGAAUUUUUAUGAGGCAUAGGUAAUGACAAUCUAUGAAUAAUGUAUAAGUUUCACAUGCUCAGACUUUAUAUGGUACUUACUACAAAAAUAACAAAUUGUUAAUGCAAUAAAGCAUGUGAGAGCAAGUUAAUUCUAAAACUAAUUAUUUUCUGUGAAUGCAUGACCAUAUCAAGUUUUAUUAGGCCUCUAAAACAUCAUACAAAGACAGUGAAACACCAUUUUCCAUUUUUACAUCCAUAUAUUAUUUAUAAACCAUUUAAAACUAUUUAAUAUGCCUCAAACAAGUUAAAUUACCAACUCAGAGAUACAUCGACCAUAAAUCAUGAAAUGUUUACCGGUCACUAAGCAUCACAGAGAGGGUCUACUGUAAAAAUUUCAAUGUAUUUCGAGCGCCAGAGCUACAAAUCCAAAAAUAACAAGCAAAACAAUCAUCUUUUUCAUACUUAACAAGAUUUAAUUAACAUACCAAGAAAACAUGAACCACAUAAAGGUUUUAUAUUUUUCUUGGCUAGAGUAUGACAACAUCUAACCAAAAAACAAGUUUCAUCAUUUUUGGAUUUUUAUAAAUAAAACUAUAGAGAGAAGCAAGUUCAUUUAUUUUCUAAACUAGUUUUUAAAUAUAAAUUUCUACAGAAAAACUUUUUCACUAAAACAUACCAACAUAUAGAUCCACUGCAUAGAAAAUUUCCCAAGGAUUCUAAAAAGUCCUCAUUUGCCAUUUUACGAUUAUUUGCCUACGAAUUUUUAAAGUUAAGCACAGAUUCUGCAAAUUUAAGCGCUUCUACCUUCACUCUGGGCCCACGUGUCAUAGGCAGGGGGUCUUCUUCUUUGGACGUAGGGGGCUUCUUCCCAGGUUGCAACUAGCGUGAGCGCCAUGUGGGCAAGUCGACGAUGAGGGUUGGUGCUUGCUUCGGCCAUCGAGAAGGAUGACAUGCUCGUGGAGGCCGAACAGAGCUCGCACGUAGCCGCUGUUACCAUACCGCUGGAGCUCA
rnacentral:lncRNA from 1 species